rnacentral:rRNA from 1 species
GACGAACCACACGAACGUUAUUCGGAAUUACUGGGCUUAAAGGGCGCGUAGGCGGCCGGGUUGGUCGUGGGUGAAAUCCCCCAGCUUAACUGGGGAAGGGCCUACGAUACUGCCUGGCUCGAGGGAGGAAGGGGCGGUCGGAACUGUCGGUGGAGCGGUGAAAUGCGUUGAUAUCGACAGGAACGCCGGUGGCGAAAGCGGACCGCUGGCCCUCUUCUGACGCUGAGGCGCGAAAGCCAGGGGAGCGAACGGG